rnacentral:rRNA from 1 species
GACGAACGCUGGCGGCAUGCCUAAUACAUGCAAGUCGAACGCCGAAGCACUAUGCUUGCGGUGUGCGGAUGAGCGGCGGACGGGCGAGUAACAAGUGGGAAAUCUGCCUCUAUGAGGGGGGUAACAUUCGGAAACGGAUGCCAAUACCGCCUAUAUUCUUGGACCGCCUGGACCUUGAAAGCAUGACGGCUUUCGUGUCUCUUAUAGAUGAUCCCGCGGCGGAUUAGUUAGUUGGUGGGGUAAAGGCCUACCAAGACAAUGAAACGUAGCCGAGCUGAGAGGGUGAUCGGCCACACUGGAACUGAGACACGGCCCAGACUCCUACGGGAGGCAGCAGUGGGGAAUCUUCCACAAUGGGCGAAAGCCUGAUGGAGCAAUGCCGCGUGAAUGAAGAAGGUCUUCGGAUCGUAAAGUUCUGUUAUUGGGGAAGAACAAGUCAAGGAGUAACUGUCGUGGCUUUGACGGUACCUAACCAGAAAGUCACGGCUAACUACGUG